rnacentral:rRNA from 1 species
UGGGACCUACGGGGCGCAGCAGUGGGGAAUAUUGCACAAUGGGGGAAACCCUGAUGCAGCGACGCCGCGUGAGUGAAGAAGUAUUUCGGUAUGUAAAGCUCUAUCAGCAGGGAAGAAAAAAGACGGUACCUGAGUAAGAAGCCCCGGCUAACUACGUGCCAGCAGCCGCGGUAAUACGUAGGGGGCAAGCGUUAUCCGGAUUUACUGGGUGUAAAGGGAGCGUAGACGGCCAGACAAGUCUGAAGUGAAAAUCCAGCGCUUAACGUUGGAAGUGCUUUGGAAACUGCCGGGCUAGAGUGCAGGAG